UACGUAGGUGGCAAGCGUUGUCCGGAUUUAUUGGGCGUAAAGGGCGCGUAGGCGGCCACGCACGUCCGUUGUGAAAUCGCCCGGCUCAACUGGGCGGGGUCAGCGGAUACGGUGUGGCUCGAGCAAGCUAGGGGGCAAUGGAAUUCCCGGUGUAGUGGUGGAAUGCGUAGAUAUCGGGAGGAACACCAGUGGCGAAGGCGGUUGCCUGGAGCUUUGCUGACGCUGAUGCGCGAAAGCGUGGGGAGCGAUCCGG
rnacentral:rRNA from 1 species